rnacentral:rRNA from 1 species
AAUCAACGCUGGCGGCGUGCCUCAGACAUGCAAGUCGAACGAUUAAAGCUCUCUUCGGAGAGUGCAUAGAGUGGCGCACGGGUGAGUAACACGUAAGUAAUCUACCCUCGAGUGGGGAAUAACAGUCGGAAACGACUGCUAAUACCGCAUAAUGCAGCGGCACCGCAAGGUGACAGUUGUUAAAGGAGUAAUCCGCUUGAGGAGGAGCUUGCGGCAGAUUAGCUAGUUGGUAGGGUAAUGGCUUACCAAGGCUACGAUCUGUAUCCGGUCUAAGAGGACGGUCGGACACACUGACACUGAAUAACGGGUCAGACUCCUACGGGAGGCAGCAGUCGGGAAUUUUGGGCAAUGGGCGAAAGCCUGACCCAGCAACGCCGCGUGAAGGAUGAAGUAUUUCGGUAUGUAAACUUCGAAAGAAUAGGAAGAAUAAAUGACGGUACUAUUUAUAAGCUCCGGCUAACUACGUGCCAGCCGCCGCAGUAACAC